UGGUGGGUAGUUUGACUGGGGCGGUCUCCUCCCAAAGAGUAACGGAGGAGCACGAAGGUUGGCUAAUCCUGGUCGGACAUCAGGAGGUUAGUGCAAUGGCAUAAGCCAGCUUGACUGCGAGCGUGACGGCGCGAGCAGGUGCGAAAGCAGGUCAUAGUGAUCCGGUGGUUCUGAAUGGAAGGGCCAUCGCUCAACGGAUAAAAGGUACUCCGGGGAUAACAGGCUGAUACCGCCCAAGAGUUCAUAUCGACGGCGGUGUUUGGCACCUCGAUGUCGGCUCAUCACAUCCUGGGGCUGAAGUAGGUCCCAAGGGUAUGGCUGUUCGCCAUUUAAAGUGGUACGCGAGCUGGGUUUAGAACGUCGUGAGACAGUUCGGUCCCUAUCUGCCGUGGGCGCUGGAGAAUUGAGGGGGGCUGCUCCUAGUACGAGAGGACCGGAGUGGACGCAUCACUGGUGUUCGGGUUGUCAUGCCAAUGGCACUGCCCGGUAGCUAAAUGCGGAAGAGAUAAGUGCUGAAAGCAUCUAAGCACGAAACUUGCCCCGAGAUGAGUUCUCCCUGAGACUUUAAGUCUCCUGAAGGAACGUUGAAGACGACGACGUUGAUAGGUCGGGUGUGUAAGCGCAGCGAUGCGUUGAGCUAACCGAUACUAAUGAACCGUGAGGCUUAACCUUACAACGCCGAAG
rnacentral:rRNA from 1 species